GGCGAAGUCACUGAUACCACGCUUCCAGGAAAAGCUCCUAAGCUUCAGCUUACGCAGACCGUACCGUAAACCGACACAGGUGGGUAGGAUGAGAAUUCUCAGGCGCUUGAGAGAACUCGGGUGAAGGAACUAGGCAACAUGGCACCGUAACUUCGGGAGAAGGUGCACCCUUUUUGGUGGCUCGUGCGAGCUAUAGCUGAAGAGGGUCGCAGUAACCAGGCCGCUGCGACUGUUUAUCAAAAACACAGCACUCUGCAAACACGAAAGUGGACGUAUAGGGUGUGACGCCUGCCCGGUGCUGGAAGGUUAAUUGAUGGGGUCAGCCGCAAGGCGAAGCUCUUGAUCGAAGCCCCAGUAAACGGCGGCCGUAACUAUAACGGUCCUAAGGUAGCGAAAUUCCUUGUCGGGUAAGUUCCGACCUGCACGAAUGGCGUAACGACAGCGGCGCUGUCUCCACCCGAGACUCAGUGAAAUUGAAAUCGCUGUGAAGAUGCAGCGUUCCCGUGGCAAGACGGAAAGACCCCGUGAACCUUUACUAUAGCUUUACACUGAACGUUGAGUUCGUCUGUGUAGGAUAGGUGGGAGGCUAUGAAACCAUGGCGCUAGCUGUGGCGGAGCCAUCCUUGAAAUACCACCCUGUCGUGCUUGACGUUCUAACCUGGGCCCAUUAUCUGGGUCGGGGACCGUGUAUGGUGGGUAGUUUGACUGGGGCGGUCUCCUCCUAAAGAGUAACGGAGGAGCUCGAAGGUACGCUCAGCGCGGUCGGACAUCGCGCACUGUGUGCAAAGGCAUAAGCGUGCUUGACUGCAAGAUCGACGGAUCAAGCAGGUAGGAAACUAGGACUUAGUGAUCCGGUGGUUCUGUAUGGAAGGGCCAUCGCUCAACGGAUAAAAGGUACUCCGGGGAUAACAGGCUGAUACCGCCCAAGAGUUCAUAUCGACGGCGGUGUUUGGCACCUCGAUGUCGGCUCAUCACAUCCUGGGGCUGUAGUCGGUCCCAAGGGUAUGGCUGUUCGCCAUUUAAAGUGGUACGCGAGCUGGGUUCAGAACGUCGUGAGACAGUUCGGUCCCUAUCUGCCAUGGGCGUUGGAGAUUUGAGAGGGGCUGCUCCUAGUACGAGAGGACCGGAGUGGACGAACCUCUGGUGUUCCGGUUGUCACGCCAGUGGCAUUGCCGGGUAGCUAUGUUCGGAAGCGAUAACCGCUGAAAGCAUCUAAGCGGGAAGCGCGCCUCAAGAUGAGAUCUCCCGGGGCACAAGCCCCCUGAAGGAACCAUGUAGACUACGUGGUUGAUAGGUCAGGUGUGUAAGUACAGCAAUGUAUUGAGCUAACUGAUACUAAUGAUCCGUGCGGCUUGACC
rnacentral:rRNA from 1 species